AAACGCGGCGCGGAGCCGGAACAGCGCCCCCCCCUCCCCCUGCGGCGGGGGCGGGAACAGCGCCCCCCCCUCCCCUCACCCUCUGAGGGGGUCGCUGUGAGGGGGUGGAAGGGGGGGAGGACGCGCCAAAGUUUUGGGAAACUUUCCCCUGUUUGAAGGUUGAGGGGUCGUUUCUAAGCUCCCCCCGCCCUCUCGCCGCGGUGCCCUGAGCGCCCUCAGAGCGGCUCCCACAGCGGCGCCGCCUGUGCCGCCCCCCCCCGCCCCAUCCUUCAGUGUGUCAGCGCACCUGGGUUUUUCCCCUCAUUCCUUCCCUCCCUCCCUCCCUCCCUGGGAGCCGCUCUCCCUGCGCCCCACAGAUAAGGCGCUGGGCUCACCCCACCCCACGGGGCGCUCGGUUGUGCUGGAUAAGCAGGGCCCCGCCACGUUGAGGGGAAGUUUGCCCCGUUUCUUUCCCCCCCCCCCCGGGUGUUUGACUUCGCACAGGAUCCCCCCCCCAGAGCACCCUCCCUUAACCCCGCAGGGAGCUGCGAUCACCCCUCACUCCCCCCAAUCCAUCCCCCUGUCCCGGUUACACUCGUGUCCUCCUAUUAACCCUGUGCAGAGAGGACAAAAGCUAAACUAUGAUCCUGGCUCUGCCUCUCUCCCCCCCCCCCCCCCCAUCCCGCUCCCGGCUCCAUGAGCUUCACAUCCUCCUGCUAAGGCUGAAAGGAACAAGAACAAGAGCUGCUGAUGGUUGUAAGGCCUCGCUCGGCUCUCCCCACCCCCUCCGCCGGCACCAUCCCCCACUGCAGCUCCCAUGGACUCGUAUCCCUCCCAUUAACGCUGAAAGGGGAGGACAGGAGCCCUGAUGGGUUUUUCUCAGGCUUUACUCUUGUUUUCUCCCCACCGCCACCCACCCACACACACGCACACCCCCCUCUCUACCAACCGGCACCAGCUCCACAGCCCCUGCAGAAGUGCAGAGCUGGCUCUGCCGGCACAUCCAUGGAUGCCCCUUUCCCUCUGAGCACAUCCAUGAAAUGUCCCUUCCCUCUCAGCUCCAAGGGGGAAAAAAAAAAAAAAAAAUAGAAAAAAAAAAAAAACCACCCUCGUUCUGCUUAUUCAUUAUAAGCGCUUGGCAGUGUGCUGUUAAAAACGUGCGAUCUCUUGUUUUUAGAAGCAUCUGUGCUUUAAGAAUAAGGUUUUGUCUCCUUGAAUGUGGCUCUUCAUAAUAAUCUCUCGAAGUGCUGCGUUUUUGUCCUUAAAGUUCUAUUUUAUUACCUCUUCUGGAUCGGUGAAGGUCGGUUUAACCCUUUAGAGAUGAAAAUCAGGAGCCACUUUAGGAAAAUGUUGCUUUUUUUUUCUUUACUAAUUCGUGGUUGCAAUAAUAUUUUAUUGAGGAUUUUUUCCCCCCAGCUCAGUCCUGCAUGCUGAAGGAAGUGUGUGCUUCAGCACUGAUUAAAGUCAUGUAUGAGUUAAUGAGAAGCUUGCAGAGUAUGUGAAGCAAGAGAAAAUCUUUAACCAGCUCUGCUGUUCCUUCUACAUACCACAAACUUGCACGCUGUAACCAGAAGGUGGAUUGAAUAUGUGUGAAAUGCUGCAGUAGGAGACUCUGAAAUCGCAUCACAGGUUAGUAGAUGGAUAGCACAGAAGAGCCUCUGAGGUGCUGGAGGUACCAGCAGUGGUGUCAACAUUCCUGUUGUGGGACUUCUAAUUUAAGAAAUGUAUUGUCAUAAGGAAUAAGAUCAAGGCUGAAUCCUGCUUGCAUUUAGGUCCAAAUGCAAAAUAUGCUUUGGAAGGAGUCCCCAGGGAACACUGAGAGUAAUUAAGUAAAAAUAAAACCUUUCACUUCAGCCCCCCCCCUUCUUUUAACACAGACAAGUCAGUGCAAUGCUGUUUUCAUUCCACCAUUUUCAUUAUGUGUCCUGAUAUUUCUUAAUUUUGUAUUGCAUCUGAAAUCCUCGAGUGACUUAUAAUUUCUGUGAUUUGGGGGUAUUUCUAGACCAUACUUUUAAAGAAGUCAUCUCACUGUGUCCCAGAAGGAGCCAUUGAACAGUCAUUCUCAUAAACAGCACUGAACUUCUUACAGCCUCCCUUUUCCAAACACCUUUUUUUUCUCCCCCCCUGUAAUUUUAAUCCUUAACUAUUGAAUUCCCUUUUCUUUACAUUAAGUAAAUAUUUAUUAAUACCUGUUGAGGGGGUUUUUUUCAUCUUUUUAAAAGAACAGAGCCUUGUCACUAAGAUGAUCCUUUCGUAUUGAGGAGAUGACAUCAAAAAGGAGUGAAGGAGAGUUGUCUUGUGCUGGAAAAUGCCAUUUUUGGAAAACAAUACUAUAGGAAAUGGAAAUGAAAAAUACAUUUUAUGCUGGUGGGAACUUGUAAUGAGGCUAAGAGAGGAUUUGAUGUCCCAGAAAAGCAAUGAUUACAAGGGGAAAAGCGGGACUUUAUCAUCCAUUUGUAAAAGUUCUCGGGCUGAAUAUCCUUUUGGGGAGCUGAAAUUUGGCUCAAGUCUGCUUAUGAACAUCUGUUGAAUGGAAUUUUAAAAAGGCACAGAUUAUAAUCUUGGUUUCUGUUGGCUGUUUAAGAUGAUAAAAUAAAGCAAAAUAAAUGUUUCUGCAAGUACGUUUGGGGAGUUUUUUUGUUAAUAAUGAGGUGGGUGAAUGUUCAAUUGCCUCUACUGCUGGUUACCUGGUUGGAUAUGUGUUUCCAUACAUUUUUCUCCAUUGCAUAUAAAAUAUUCCCUCUACCCCUUUCUAUAGCUGUUUAAUUCCAUUUGAACACUCCUUGUAAGCUUUUGAGUUUUGGUCGGUUUGUUUUGUUUUGGGUGUUUUGUUGUUGUUUUUUUUUUUUUGUGACAGGAGGCUCUUGGAUUUUGGCAUCUGUGACAUUUUUUUGCACCAAGAACACAGUGAUACAUUUGAAGGGAAAUUUUGAGAGAGCUCUUGGGUAUUCCCAGAACUGCUUCGAUUCACAUCCUGCCCACCUGUCCCUCUGACAGGAUUCUGUAAAUUCAACCACUUUGUGUCCACUGGCUCUGGGUAGCACCACUUCAGCAUCUAUUUCUGCAGCAUUUGUGACCUCCAGUUAUUCAGGGAGGUCUUCACUGUAAUUUUCCCUCCUAUUAUUUUGCCUCUUUUCGCAGCCUGAUGUUUUUUUUUUUUUGCUCUUGUUUUCUCUUCCAAGCGAGGAUGCUGUGAGUGCUUCAGCUCAGAAUUUAGGUCACCUCCGAUGGAAGAAGAGAGACCUAAAAAGUAAAAAUAAGAUUUCAAUGUGUGCCUUUAAAAGUGACAACUCUUUGGGAGAAAAAAAAAACAAAACCAAACGUACGAGCUCACCUGUAUUUUGUGGCAGUAGGGAAUGGAGGGAGCCUCUUCUGAUCCCAGAAGGAAAGCUGAGUAUCUCCUUGGGAGUGUGGUUCCUCUUCCACGUUUUCCUGAUCUUUCAUUUUCACACCUGAUUUGAGCUUUAAUCACUCAAAUUAUUCAUAGGCUUGCCCUGGAAAAAGAAGAGAGUGACCUUUCCCCAUCUGGAGUAGAUGGAUUUGCCAUCAACAAUUGUAAGUGGGUGACUUAAUGAUGGGGGUCUACGCCUGGGAUUUUGAAUUCUGUGAUUUCACCGCGUUUCCGGAGUUCUGCACAUGGUCUUUUCUGAACUGAAAGAUGAAGAGGUGGCAGACCCAAGGAAGGAGCCUUUGCCUAAAACAAACACUGUGUGUUUGAAAUCAUGAAAUCAUGGUGCUCAGACAGUUCAGAACAGGAGAUCCCAAGAAGGGCAGCUGUGGUUUGUUGCUGUGGUUUGUUGCUGUGUUGCCAGAGCAGGUAUGUUCUGUGUGGAGAGAUGAAGAGACCUGAGAUGGAAGACACAGGUGAUCCAUAUUCCUGGAGUGUUAUUUAUGACAGAAACAAAGAACCCUCAGAAAAGCCAGACCUGUGGUGUGAGCUUCUGGGAGGUGCAACCCUUUGGGAUUUUUGGAAAGCUGUACCCUUAGGAAGUCCUGGUUCUCCAACAGUUCCCUGCAGAGGCAGAGGACCCCUCUCUCCUGAGGUGACAGUGUGUGCAGGCUCAGCUCCACAAGGAUCACUGCUUAGCUCUCCAAGCACUGUCUGACACAGGGAAUGUGCUGAGCUGGUCCCUACUCCAGGGCCCACAUUAAUUCUCUCUGUGUUCCGUGUUUCUUCACGCUCCUGUGACCCGGAUGAAUUUACCAGGGGACUGACUGGGGUGUUCAAUUUUCCUGUGUACAUUCCU